rnacentral:rRNA from 1 species
AGAGUUUGAUCCUGGCUCAGGACGAACGCUGGCGGCGUGCUUAACACAUGCAAGUCGAACGGAAAGGCCCUUCGGGGUACUCGAGUGGCGAACGGGUGAGUAACACGUGGGUGAUCUGCCCUGCACUCUGGGAUAAGCCUGGGAAACUGGGUCUAAUACCGGAUAGGACCGCAUGCUUCAUGGUGUGUGGUGCAAAGCUUUUGCGGUGUGGGAUGAGCCCGCGGCCUAUCAGCUUGUUGGUGGGGUAAUGGCCUACCAAGGCGACGACGGGUAGCCGGCCUGAGAGGGUGACCGGCCACACUGGGACUGAGAUACGGCCCAGACUCCUACGGGAGGCAGCAGUGGGGAAUAUUGCACAAUGGGCGCAAGCCUGAUGCAGCGACGCCGCGUGAGGGAUGACGGCCUUCGGGUUGUAAACCUCUUUCAGUAGGGACGAAGCGAAAGUGACGGUACCUACAGAAGAAGGACCGGCCAACUACGUGCCAGCAGCCGCGGUAAUACGUAGGGUCCGAGCGUUGUCCGGAAUUACUGGGCGUAAAGAGCUCGUAGGUGGUUUGUCGCGUUGUUCGUGAAAACUCACAGCUUAACUGUGGGCGUGCGGGCGAUACGGGCAGACUAGAGUACUGCAGGGGAGACUGGAAUUCCUGGUGUAGCGGUGGAAUGCGCAGAUAUCAGGAGGAACACCGGUGGCGAAGGCGGGUCUCUGGGCAGUAACUGACGCUGAGGAGCGAAAGCGUGGGUAGCGAACAGGAUUAGAUACCCUGGUAGUCC